rnacentral:rRNA from 1 species
AUUGAACGCUGGCGGCAGGCCUAACACAUGCAAGUCGAGCGGAUGAAGGGAGCUUUCUCCUGGAUUCAGCGGCGGACGGGUGAGUAAUGCCUAGGAAUCUGCCUGGUAGUGGGGGAUAACGUCCGGAAACGGGCGCUAAUACCGCAUACGUCCUGAGGGAGAAAGUCGGGGAUCUUCGGACCUCACGCUAUCAGAUGAGCCUAGGUCGGAUUAGCUAGUUGGUGGGGUAAAGGCCUACCAAGGCGACGAUCCGUAACUGGUCUGAGAGGAUGAUCAGUCACACUGGAACUGAGACACGGUCCAGACUCCUACGGGAGGCAGCAGUGGGGAAUAUUGGACAAUGGGCGAAAGCCUGAUCCAGCCAUGCCGCGUGUGUGAAGAAGGUCUUCGGAUUGUAAAGCACUUUUAGUUGGGAGGAAGGGCAGUAAGUUAAUACCUUGCUGUUUUGACGUUACCAACAGAAUAAGCACCGGCUAACUUCGUG